GAUGAAGAACGUAGCGAAAUGCGAUAAGUAAUGUGAAUUGCAGAAAUCAGUGAAUCAUCGAAUCUUUGAACGCACAUUGCGCCCGCCAGUAUUCUGGCGGGCAUGCCUGUUCGAGCGUCAUUUCAACCCUCAAGACCCCUUCGGGGGACUUGGUGUUGGGGACCGGCACAGGGGCCUGCCUGCUUGUCUUGCAGCGCCCUCGCCGCCCCCGAAAUGAAUUGGCGGCCUCGUCGCGGCCUCCCCUGCGUAGUAGCACAAACCUCGCAACGGGAACGUGACGGCGGCCACUGCCGUAAAACAACCCAAUUUUAUUAGAGUUGACCUCGAAUCAGGUAGGAAUACCCGCUGAACUUAAGCAUAUCAAUAAGCGGAGGA
rnacentral:misc_RNA from 1 species